rnacentral:tRNA from 1 species
GGAGGGGUGCGUGAGUGGUUGAAACGGGCAGUCUACUAAACUGCUAGGCUAGAAAUAGCCUCGAGGGUUCGAAUCCCUCCUCCUCCG